GCCGGUGACAAACCGGAGGAAGGUGGGGAUGACGUCAAGUCCUCAUGGCCCUUAUAGGUGGGGCUACACACGUCAUACAAUGGCCGGUACAAAGGGCUGCCAACCGCGAGGGGGAGCCAAUCCCAUAAAAUCGGUCGUAGUCCGGAUCGCAGUCUGCAACUCGACUGCGUGAAGUCGGAAUCGCUAGUAAUCGUGGAUCAGAAUGUCACGGUGAAUACGUUCCCGGGUCUU
rnacentral:rRNA from 1 species